rnacentral:rRNA from 1 species
GUGGGGAAUCUUCCGCAAUGGACGAAAGUCUGACGGAGCAACGCCGCGUGAGUGAAGAAGGUUUUCGGAUCGUAAAGCUCUUUCGUUAGGGACGAACGUGCUCUUUGUGAAUAAUGAGGAGUAAUGACGGUACCUAAAUAAGAAGCCACGGCUAACUACGUGCCAGCAGCCGCGGUAAUACGUAGGUGGCAAGCGUUGUCCGGAAUUAUUUGGCGUAAAGCGCGCGCAGGCGGGAUAUCAAGUCUGUCUUAAAAGUGCGAGGCUCAACCUCGUGAGGGGACAGAAACUGGUAUUGUUGAGUGUCGGAGAGGAAAGUGGAAUUCCAAGUGUAGAGGGGAAAUGCGUAGAGAUUUGGAAGAACACCAGUGGCGAAGGCGACUUUCUGGACGAUGUCUGACGCUGAGGCGCGAAAGCUAGGGGAGCGAACGGGAUUAGAAACCCUGGUAGUCC